AGCAGCCGCGGUAAUUCCAGCUCCAAUAGCGUAUAUUAAAGUUGUUGCAGUUAAAAAGACUCGUAGUUGAAUUUCGGGAUUGACGUGACGGUCGUGCCUUAAGGGGCGUGAACUGUCGCCGUUGAUUUCUCACCUCCUGGAGAAGCUCGAUGUCCUUAAUUGGAUGUCUUGUGGAACCAGGACCUUUACCUUGAAAAAAUUAGAGUGUUUAAAGCAGGCAUUUUGCUCGAAUACAUUAGCAUGGAAUAAUAGAAUAGGACGGCAUGGUUCUAUUUUGUUGGUUUCUAGGAUCACCGUAAUGAUUAAUAGGGAUAGUUGGGGGCAUUAGUAUUCAAUUGUCAGAGGUGAAAUUCUUGGAUUUAUUGAAGACUAACUAACUGCGAAAGCAAUUUGCCUAAGGAUGUUUUCAUUAAUACUAAGAACGAAAGUUAGGGGAUCGAAGACGAUCAGAUACCGUCGUAGUCUUAACCAUAAACUAUGCGACUAGGAAUCAGACGAUGUAAUUUUUAAUG
rnacentral:rRNA from 1 species